UUUUCCGACCGUUGCGUGUUAUUACUUUGGUUGCUAUGCAAAGUUUUAAUAUGUUUGUUUAAUAAUAUAAACACAUUUUCAUGUGUUUAAAGGUCGCAAAAGCUUAACAUAAGUGGCAACCACACUUUGUAUUACGUUUCGUCUCAUAUAUCAUGAAGAACAACCAAGUAUUUCAAGGUGGGAACAUCCUGAGGAACUUCAACCAAGGAAAGUUGAGGCGAGGGCGAGUAUGUCCCUGAGGAGGACCAUGCAAAGGAGGUCAAGGAGAUUCUGGGGGCAACCUGCGAGCAACCUCUAGACCAGCCAGCAGGGACCUCUGACAAUGCCGCUGCCGGUGUCGACGCUGGCAGCCAUGGCCGGCGCCGAGCUGACGAGUUCCAACCUGGAAGCUCAGCGCGAGGGGCUGGCAUUUGUUGCCGGCUUCGUGGCAUACAAGUGUCACCACAUCGACGCCACCCUCGGUAGCCGGUCUCCUGACUUCUCGGGCGCCGCUGGAGACACUGAACACCCUGCCGAACAGCUGAAUUGUGACGAUCAGCCGAGGCCAGCUGUUUGUUCUGUCACAAGCCUGGAUGGCCGCUGUGGAGGAGUUCGAGCGGAACUUCUGCCUGCUGAUGGGGGCAAGUGCAGAUCAGGGGCCGCGAGUCAUAUAGCGUCUCAAGCUGUUCAUUGCCGUCAAGCAGCCUCAGCUCGGCACCCGCGUGUCCAGGAAGUUGGUGAGCACCCGUCUCCACCUCCCCCUUCGGUCCCUUAGCCUGACUGGACGAGGUCCGGCAGCUGAAAAGAGCCGAUAGAAAAGUUGGCCAUCAUGCAAGGAGCUCUAGGUGAGCUGGUAAACCGGCUCG
rnacentral:lncRNA from 1 species